rnacentral:rRNA from 1 species
UAAAACAAUACUUGCUCCCAKAAAGAAUAAAAAGCGGACGGGUGAGUAACACGUGGGUAACCUGCCUGUAAGACUGGGAUAACUCCGGGAAACCGGAGCUAAUACCGGAUAGUUCCUUGAACCGCAUGGUUCAAGGAUGAAAGACGGUUUCGGCUGUCACUUACAGAUGGACCCGCGGCGCAUUAGCUAGUUGGUGGGGUAAUGGCUCACCAAGGCGACGAUGCGUAGCCGACCUGAGAGGGUGAUCGGCCACACUGGGACUGAGACACGGCCCAGACUCCUACGGGAGGCAGCAGUAGGGAAUCUUCCGCAAUGGACGAAAGUCUGACGGAGCAACGCCGCGUGAGUGAUGAAGGUUUUCGGAUCGUAAAGCUCUGUUGUUAGGGAAGAACAAGUGCGAGAGUAACUGCUCGCACCUUGACGGUACCUAACCAGAAAGCCACGGCUAACUACGUGCCAGCAGCCGCGGUAAUACGUAGGUGGCAAGCGUUGUCCGGAAUUAUUGGGCGUAAAGGGCUCGCAGGCGGUUUCUUAAGUCUGAUGUGAAAGCCCCCGGCUCAACCGGGGAGGGUCAUUGGAAACUGGGAAACUUGAGUGCAGAAGAGGAGAGUGGAAUUCCACGUGUAGCGGUGAAAUGCGUAGAGAUGUGGAGGAACACCAGUGGCGAAGGCGACUCUCUGGUCUGUAACUGACGCUGAGGAGCGAAAGCGUGGGGAGCGAACAGGAUUAGAUACCCUGGUAGUCCACGCCGUAAACGAUGAGUGCUAAGUG